UAGUGCCUACGGGGGGCAGCAGUGAGGAAUAUUGGUCAAUGGUCGGGAGACUGAACCAGCCAAGCCGCGUGAGGGAUGAAGGUACAGAGUAUCGUAAACCUCUUUUGUCAGGGAACAAAGGCGGGGACGUGUCCCCGGAUGAGUGUACCUGAAGAAGAAGCACCGGCUAACUACGUGCCAGCAGCCGCGGUAAUACGUAGGGUGCAAGCGUUAUCCGGAUUUACUGGGUGUAAAGGGCGAGUAGACGGCGUUGCAAGUCAGAUGUGAAAGGCUAGGGCUCAACCUUAGGAGAGCAUCUGAAACUG
rnacentral:rRNA from 1 species